rnacentral:rRNA from 1 species
CCUACGGGAGGCUGCAGUGAGGAAUAUUGGUCAAUGGGCGCGAGCCUGAACGAGCCAAGUCGCGUGAGGGAAGACGGUCCUAUGGAUGGUAAACCUCUUUUGUCGGGGAGAAAAAGACGCCAAGUGUGGCGUUCCGAGAGUACCCGUAGAAAAAGCAUCGGCUAACUCCGAUCCAGCAGCCGCGGUAAUACGGAGGAUGCGAGCGUUAUCCGGAUUUAUUGGGUUUAAGGGGUGCGCAGGCGGAAGAUCAAGGCAGCGGUAAAAUUGAGAGGCUCAACCUCUUCGAGCCGUUGAAACUGGUUUUCUGGAGGGAGCGAGAAGUAUGCGGAAUGCGUGGUGUAGCGGUGAAAUGCGUAGAUAUCACGCAGAACUCCGAUUGCGAAGGCAGCAUACCGGCGCUCAACUGACGCUCAUGCACGAAAGUGUGGGUAUCGAACAGGAUUAGAUACCCGGGUAGUC